rnacentral:rRNA from 1 species
GACGAACGCUGGCGGCGUGCUUAACACAUGCAAGUCGAACGGAAAGGCCCUGCUUUUGUGGGGUGCUCGAGUGGCGAACGGGUGAGUAACACGUGAGUAACCUGCCCUUGACUUUGGGAUAACUUCAGGAAACUGGGGCUAAUACCGGAUAGGAGCUCCUGCUGCAUGGUGGGGGUUGGAAAGUUUCGGCGGUUGGGGAUGGACUCGCGGCUUAUCAGCUUGUUGGUGGGGUAGUGGCUUACCAAGGCUUUGACGGGUAGCCGGCCUGAGAGGGUGACCGGACACAUUGGGACUGAGAUACGGCACAGACUCGUACGGGAGGCAGCAGUGGGGAAUAGUGCACAAUGGGCGGAAGCCUGAUGCAGCAACGCCGCGUGCGGGAUGACGGCCUUCGGGUUGUAAACCGCUUUCGCCUGUGACGAAGCGUGAGUGACGGUAAUGGGUAAAGAAGCACCGGCUAACUACGUG